rnacentral:rRNA from 1 species
GAUUUCUGACUUGAUACAUUUUGCCGGCCACGGUUUCGUGUGUUAGUGUAAAAUGUUCUGGUCAUCCUUCCAAUUGCUAUUGGCUAUUCUUCAUUGAUUGGUCAGUAGUAUUGGAUCUUUUACUUUGAAAAAAUUAGAGUGUUUCAAGCAGGCAUGUUUUGCUAUGAAUACAUUAGCAUGGAAUAAUAAUCUAGGACUUUCGGUUCUAUUUUGUUGGUGUUCUGGAGCUGAAGUAAUGAUUGAUAGGGAUAGUUGGGGGUGCUAGUAUUCAAUGGCCAGAGGUGAAAUUCUCGGAUUCCUUGAAGACUAACUUAUGCGAAAGCAUU